rnacentral:rRNA from 1 species
AGUGAACGCUGGCGGUAGGCCUAACACAUGCAAGUCGAACGGCAGCACAGUAAGAGCUUGCUCUUACGGGUGGCGAGUGGCGGACGGGUGAGGAAUACAUCGGAAUCUACUUUUUCGUGGGGGAUAACGUAGGGAAACUUACGCUAAUACCGCAUACGACCUACGGGUGAAAGCAGGGGAUCUUCGGAUCUUGCGGGAUUGAAUGAGACGAUGUCGGGUUACCUAGUUGGCGGGGUAAAGGCCCACCAAGGCGACGAUCCGUAGCUGGUCUGAGAGGAUGAUCAGCCACACUGGAACUGAGACACGGUCCAGACUCCUAAGAGAGGCAGCAGUGGGGAAUAUUGGACAAUGGGCGCAAGCCUGAUCCAGCCAUACCGCGUGCGUGAAGAAGGCCUUCGGGUUGUAAAGCCCUUUUGUGGGGAAAGAAAAGCAGCAGGUUAAUACCCCGCUGUUCUGACGGUACCCAAAGAAUAAGCACCGGCUAACUUCGUG